CUUAAAAAAUUAGAGAGUUGAGUGAGAAUUCGAAGGUGAACAAAGAAGGCUCUGCUAGGGUUUGUUGUGGGCAUCCAAUUAAGUCUAUUUGGAGCUUCCCAUUACAUGGAUUGAUCAUUAUUGGUGCUAAUGAGCUUAUUGGAGGCUUCAUUUGAUAUUCAUGGGUACUCUUCGUUAGUAAACCAAGAGUUGAGCUGAUGUUAAGGCCAAAGGAGAGGGGGAGACGCAUCGACACUUAAGAACUAAAGAUUCACUUGUAAAGUCUCUAAUUUUGGUUUAUGUGUAAUUGGACUUUUGUUUUGCCAACGCUAAGAUUUACGCAUACUUUAUAUAUGUGAAUUCAUUUGCAUAUGAGCUUGAAUGUUGACUUGGGCAUUUUUGGUAGUGGCCUUAAGUUUUGGCCCUGGUACAAAUGUGUGAUGACUUUGGUUCAAUAUU